AGAAAGCAAGGGCUGGCUCAUGUGAGUAAAGGCUUCAGGAGCGAGAGCAGAACUACACCUCAGCAUCCCUCAAUCCUCACUCUAUACAAUUAUGAAAUAACUUGCAGAGCAGCAAGAUCUCUUGCAGAAUACACAAAGAUGAUGCAAGAAUCCUGUUUUGGAAUAUUAAUUGUCACAAUGGACAAGACACCCACAGAUAAGAUAAGGGGAAUUUCAUGCAAAAGCUAAGUGACUAUGUGCAAGAUUCGUUGCUAAGCAGGUCAAUCUUAAUCACUGGAACUCAGAAAACAAUAUUGA